rnacentral:rRNA from 1 species
GCGGUGCCAGCCCCCGCGGUAAUACCGGCGCCUCAAGUGGUAGUCGCUUUUAUUGGGCCUAAAACGUCCGUAGCCGGUCUGGUGCAUUCGUGGGUAAAUCAACCCGCUCAACUGGUUGAAUUCUGCGAGCACGGCCAGACUUGGGACCGGGAGAGGUGUGGGGUACUCUCAGGGUAGGGGUAAAAUCCUGUCAUCCUGAGAGGACCACCUGUUGCGAAGGCGCCACACUAGAACGGAUCCGACGGUCAGGGACGAAACCUAGGGGCACGAACCGGAUUAGAUACCCGGGUAGUCCUAGGUGUAAACGCUGUGGACUUGAUGUUGGGGGCGCUCCGAGCGCUCUCAGUGUCGAAGCGAAGGUGAUAAGUCCACUGCCUGGGGGGUACGGUCGCAAGGCU